CCUACGGGUGGCAGCAGUGAGGAAUAUUGGUCAAUGGGCGCGAGCCUGAACCAGCCAAGUAGCGUGAAGGAUGACUGCCCUACGGGUUUUAAACUUCUUUUAUAAAGGAAUAAAGUGAGGCACGUGUAACUUUUUGUAUGUACUUUAUGAAUAAGGAUAGGCUAACCCCGUGCCAGCAGCCGCGGUAAUACGGAGUACCGCAGCGUUAUCCGGAUUGAUUGGGUUUAAAGGGAGCGUAGAUGGGUUGUUACGUCAGUUGUGAAAGUUUGCGGCUCAACCGGAAAACUGCAAUUGAUACUGGCAGCCUUGAGUACUGUUGAGGUAGGCGGAAUUCGUGGUGUAGCGGUGAAAUGCUUAGAUAUCAUGAAGAACUCCGAUUGCGAAGGCAGCUUACUAAACUGCCACUGACAUUGAUGCUCGAAAGUGUGGGUAUCAAACAGGAUUAGAUACCCGAGUAGUC
rnacentral:rRNA from 1 species